rnacentral:rRNA from 1 species
AGAGCGAACGCUGGCGGCAGGCCUAACACAUGCAAGUCGAACGGACCCUUCGGGGUUAGUGGCGGACGGGUGAGUAACACGUGGGAACGUGCCUUUUGGUUCGGAAUAGCUCCUGGAAACGGGUGGUAAUGCCGAAUGUGCCCUUCGGGGGGAAAGAUUUAUCGCCAUUAGAGCGGCCCGCGUCUGAUUAGCUAGUUGGUGAGGUAAAGGCUCACCAAGGCUACGAUCAGUAGCUGGUCUGAGAGGAUGACCAGCCACAUUGGGACUGAGACACGGCCCAAACUCCUACGGGAGGCAGCAGUGGGGAAUCUUGCGCAAUGGGCGAAAGCCUGACGCAGCCAUGCCGCGUGAAUGAUGAAGGUCUUAGGAUUGUAAAAUUCUUUCACCGGGACGAUAAUGACGGUACCCGGAGAAGAAGCCCCGGCUAACUCGUGCCAGCAGCCGC